rnacentral:rRNA from 1 species
GGGGAAUCUUGCGCAAUGGCCGAAAGGCUGACGCAGCGACGCCGCGUGUGGGAGGCAGCUCUUCGGGGUGUAAACCACUGUUGCCCGGGACGAACAGCCUCUUUCGAGGGGCCUGACGGUACCGGGUGAGGAAGCACCGGCUAAAUCCGUCCCAGCAGCCGCGGUAAUACGGAGGGUGCGAGCGUUGUCCGGAAUCAUUGGGCGUAAAGGGCGCGUAGGUGGCCCGGUCAGUCUUUGGUGAAAGCGCGGGGCUCAACCCUGCGUCGGCCAGGGAUACUGCCGCGGCUCGAGCACUGUAGAGGCAGGCGGAAUUCCGGGUGUAGCGGUGGAAUGCGUAGAGAUCCGGAAGAACACCGGUGGCGGAGGCGGCCUGCUGGGCAGUUUGGCUGACACUGAGGCGCGACAGCGUGGGGAGCAAAC